AAUCCCCGAACUAUAUCCGGCUAAUCUUUUUAUUUUUUGCUUUUCCAUUUCAUUUCAUCCCCCGGUCCCCGGAGAUAGAUUCGCAGUGCGUCAGUUCCGUCACUCUCCUCCCAGUCUCUCUCAAAUCACAAAAAGCAAGAUCGGCGAAUCAAGCCCGAGCAAAGCCAUACCAUACCGUGGUAGCCAUGGAUCCGACCAGCGCCGCGGCUCGCCGGAGCUCAGAGGACGAGGCGGCGGCCUUCUUCCGCGCCGCGCCGCCCCUCCGCGAACGCGACGCCGUCGCCGCCACCCUCGCCGGCUUCGUCGCCCGCCACUCCCGCUCCGCAGGGACCGGAGGAGGGCCCGCGGGGGUGGUCUGCGUCACCUCCGGCGGCACCACGGUGCCCCUGGAGCAGCGGUGCGUGCGCUACAUCGACAACUUCAGCUCCGGCCAGCGAGGGGCCGCGUCCACCGAGUAUUUUCUCAAGGCUGGUUACGCCGUCAUCUUCAUCCAUCGCCGUGGGAGCAAGCAGCCUUACUGUAGAUUUCUUCCAGAGGAUUCGUUUCUUGAUCUCUUUGAGCUUGGUGAAGAAUCAGAGAUCCAAGUCCCAGAAUCUAAUACCACGGUGGUCAAGACAGCGAUUAGCAGCUAUCGCAAGGCAAUUGAUGAAGGUCUACUUCUGAAACUUCCUUUCACUACAAUUUUUGAGUACCUUCAGCUACUGCAAUUGGUAUCAACUUCCAUGAAUUGCUUGGGACACCACGGAAUGUUUUAUCUUGCUGCUGCAGUUUCUGACUUCUACGUUCCAUGGGAGAGCAUGGCUAAACAUAAAAUCGAGUCAGCAGGUGGCCCUUUGAACAUGCAACUCAAUCAAGUUCCUAAGAUGCUUUUCAUCCUCAGGAACCAUUGGGCUCCUUCAGCAUUUUGUGUAUCCUUCAAGCUUGAGACAGAUCCGGACAUCCUUCUGCAGAAGGCAGAGAUGGCCUUGAGAAAGUACGGUAUGAAUGUCGUGGUGGCAAACGAGCUAGCGAACUACAAAGACGUGGUUGUCAUGGUCACAAGUAGCGGGAAGACAACUGUUAGCAGGCGCAGCAAGGCAGAUGACCUUGAGGAACAGCUCAUCGUUCUCCUGGUAAAGAUGCACUCGGAUCACAUUACGCAGCCCAAUCCAGACCAAGAAACAUGAGACCUUAUACUGAGAUGUGAAAGGCAAGUAUCUGCAAUCUCUCGUGGCAUCUACAUCCAAGUAUGUUAGAAGCUGCAUAGAGCCGGUAAAGUCUGAUUCUAUCUUUGUUUUCACACGAUGUUGCCGGUGUCUGCUGGACGACCGAUGGUCAUGGCACGGAUAAGUAGGCAAUGUGACCUGCAAGAACAGGAUGGAUCAUGAACAUCCUGCCCUGUUGUAAAUGGUGCUACAAAGAUAUACUAUCUGUUCAGAGGUACUCGCAGACAUGGACAUGCUUUCCGGGGACGCAAUGGUUAAGCGUUGUAGCAUUUCGUUUUUGCUUGUGCGUUUUUUCGAUUUUUGAGGCAUGGCUUCGAUAGCCCUUCAAUUUGGUAACAUUUGCAU